rnacentral:rRNA from 1 species
UACGUAGGCAGCGAGCGUUGUUCGGAGUUACUGGGCGUAAAGCGCACGUAGGCGGAUUGUUUAGUUAGGGGUGAAAUCCCGGGGGCUCAACCCCGGAACUGCCUUUAAUACUGGCAAUCUAGAGUCCGAGAGAGGUGAGUGGAAUUCCGAGUGUAGAGGUGAAAUUCGUAGAUAUUCGGAGGAACACCAGUGGCGAAGGCGGCUCACUGGCUCGGUACUGACGCUGAGGUGCGAAAGCGUGGGGAGCAAACAGGG